UACGUAGGGUGCAAGCGUUAUCCGGAAUUAUUGGGCGUAAAGAGCUCGUAGGCGGUUUGUCACGUCUGCUGUGAAAACUGGAGGCUCAACCUCCAGCCUGCAGUGGGUACGGGCAGACUAGAGUGCGGUAGGGGAGAUUGGAAUUCCUGGUGUAGCGGUGAAAUGCGCAGAUAUCAGGAAGAACACCAAUGGCGAAAGCAGCUCUCUGGGACGGUACUGACGCUGAGACGCGAAAGCGUGGGGAGCGAACAGG
rnacentral:rRNA from 1 species